UACGGAGGGAGCUAGCGUUGUUCGGAAUUACUGGGCGUAAAGCGUGUGUAGGCGGUCUCAUAAGUCGGAUGUGAAAGCCCCGGGCUCAACCCGGGAAGUGCAUUCGAAACUGCGAGGCUAGAGUAUCGGAGAGGUUGGUGGAAUUCUCGGUGUAGAGGUGAAAUUCGUAGAUAUCGAGAGGAACACCGGUGGCGAAGGCGGCCAACUGGACGAAUACUGACGCUGAGACACGAAAGCGUGGGGAGCAAACAGG
rnacentral:rRNA from 1 species